UUGGUGGGGCAAUGGCCUACCAAGGCGACGACGGGUAGCCGGCCUGAGAGGGCGACCGGCCACACUGGGACUGAGACACGGCCCAGACUCCUACGGGAGGCAGCAGUGGGGAAUAUUGCACAAUGGGCGGAAGCCUGAUGCAGCGACGCCGCGUGAGGGAUGACGGCCUUCGGGUUGUAAACCUCUUUCAGCAGGGACGAAGCGCAAGUGACGGUACCUGCAGAAGAAGCGCCGGCCAACUACGUGCCAGCAGCCGCGGUAAGACGUAGGGCGCGAGCGUUGUCCGGAUUUAUUGGGCGUAAAGAGCUCGUAGGCGGCUUGUCGCGUCGACUGUGAAAUCUCAGGGCUCAACUCUGACAUCGCAGUCGAUACGGGCAGGCUAGAGUUCGGUAGGGGAGACUGGAAUUCCUGGUGUAGCGGUGAAAUGCGCAGAUAUCAGGAGGAACACCGAUGGCGAAGGCAGGUCUCUGGGCCGAUACUGACGCUGAGGAGCGAAAGCGUGGGGAGCGAACAGGAUUAGAUACCCUGGUAGUCCACGCUGUAAACGUUGGGCGCUAGGUGUGGGGGGCCUCUCCGGUUUCCUGCGCCGCAGCUAACGCAUUAAGCGCCCCGCCUGGGGAGUACGG
rnacentral:rRNA from 1 species